UGUUUGCUGAGCAUUAUGCAAUAACUCAGAAUUCUGCUUCUGAUUCUGCGUUGACUUCGUUAUGUUUUCUUUUAUACUGGACUCAACUCCGAAGUCCACUCCUCCUUAGAGGAAACCGCUCAGUAGUCACCUAGAGUGGAGUACCCAUAGGGACACUACUUGAAGAAGAAGAAAUGAUUAUUCAUCCUGUGCAGAAACUGUGGUUCUUUCAAAUGUGUGUCCCUAUGGGUGCUCCACUAUCCACCCUUCUUACCCUCUGCUUCUGAGUUCUCUGAUGGAGCUUCACUGUAGAGAAGGAACUGAGGGCAGUUCACUCGCACAAUGCUAUAUAACAGCAUCAUGGAGCAUAAGACUGAGUAACACAUAUGCACAGGCCGAAUGGACGCUGCUAUGAGAAAUCUCCAAUCAAAGGUGCAGAGGGCAUAAGUGCACCUAGAGUGGAACACCCAUAGGGAUACACAUCUUGAAGAACCACAAUUGCUCUACAGGGUGAGUAACCAUUUCUUUGCUGCUGUUUGGUGUUUAAUAUUUCUAAGAUUAAAAAAAAAACAAAGGAAGUGGAGAGAUGUAGAGAGGGAAAGAGCAGGGAUAUGAGGAAUGGAGGAACAAAGAGUGGGAUGUAGGAGGGAAAAGGGGAUAAGUCAAACACAAAAUGGAAACUGAUAGCUACAAAACACAGCCUAAACACUGAGAGGAGUUAUUGUACAGCUAAUG